GACGAACGCUGGCGGUGUGCUUAACACAUGCAAGUCGAACGGUAAGGCCCUUUCGGGGGUACACGAGUGGCGCACGGGUGAGUAACACGUGAGUAACCUGCCCUCAUCUCUGGGAUAACAGUCGGAAACGGUUGCUAAUACUGGAUAUGAGCUUGCAAGGCAUCUUGUGGGUUGGAAAGAUUUUUUUUGGUUGGGGAUGGACUCGCGGCCUAUCAGCUUGUUGGUGAGGUAGUGGCUCACCAAGGCUUCGACGGGUAGCCGGCCUGAGAGGGCGACCGGCCACAGUGGGACUGAGAUACGGCCCAAACUCCUACGGGAGGCAGCAGUGGGGAAUAUUGCACAAUGGACGGAAGUCUGAUGCAGCAACGCCGCGUGCGGGAUGACGGCCUUCGGGUUGUAAACCGCUUUCAAUUGUGACGAAGCUUUUUUGUGACGGUAGCAGUAGAAGAAGCACCGGCUAACUACGUG
rnacentral:rRNA from 1 species